rnacentral:rRNA from 1 species
UAAGACGAACCGUGCAAACGUUAUUCGGAAUCACUGGGCUUAAAGGGCGCGUAGGCGGGUAACCAAGUCCGGGGUGAAAGCCUCCAGCUUAACUGGAGAAGUGCCUCGGAUACUGGUCGUCUCGAGGAGGGUAGGGGCAUCUGGAACUAGCGGUGGAGCGGUGAAAUGCGUUGAUAUCGCUAGGAACUCCGAUGGCGAAGGCAAGGUGCUGGACCCUUUCUGACGCUGAGGCGCGAAAGCCAGGGGAGCGAACGGGAUUAGAUACCCCGGUAGUCCUGGCCCUAAACGAUGAGAACUAGAUAGCGGGAUUGAUAUGGUCUCGCUGUCGGAGCAAAAGUGCUAAGUUCUCCGCCUGGGGAGUAUGGUCGCAAGGCUG